UUAUUGUUUUCUUCUUAUUCACCAAUUUGCUCAUAGAUUAGUCAUCUAUGAGUUUCUGCUUCGAAUUCUGAAUUCCUUUAUAGAAGAACCUUUGGUCAUAUUCUGGAGAAAGUGACAGAAUCUUUUCCAACCAGAAUAUAUUCUAUGACAACAAGGAGCAGAAAUGAAUUUUACAAAAGCCCAAAGAACCAUCUAAGUGGAGGAAAUUCUCAAAUAUUUAGGAAAGAUGGAGGCUGAAAAAAAAACCUGGCUCAAUACCCAUGGAAGAGCUGGCAAAUCUAUGUUGUCUCAUGUAUGGGGCUGUGGCCCAGUACAAAAUUGAAGCGCAGCCGGACCAGCUUGUAUGUGAAGAAGUUAGCAUUUUACCUCAAAACAUAAUCAUGGUGCAGCUCCCACUUGGUACCUUAUUGGGUGUCAUCUUUUGUGAAUGUGCAGUGUCUAACUUGACAGCCUAGAAGAUGGUGACCUUGCAUUUUGCUGAGUCAUUACACAGAAAUAACUGCAAGUUGAUCACAAACCCCCAACUAGACCUUUCAAGUAUUCAAAUCAGAAGCCGCAAUUCAGAGGGUGUACUUUGUGGAAAUCUGAGAUGUGUCCAAUUGAGUUCCACCACAAUCCCAAGACGUGUUGGAAGUUUGUGUUUCAAUGCGUCUGCAAUGGGUCCGGCAGCAUCCAUUUUCAGAUACUAGCGUGAAUGGAGAUUGCGUAAUCUUCUAAUAACCAUGUCUAGAUUUUGAUACUGGUGCAUGAAAAUUGGCAUAAUCCAGUUACAACACUGCUUUUCAGUCG